rnacentral:lncRNA from 1 species
GGUGAUGCUUCUUGGAUUGUUUUGAUGACGUAGAAUGGAAUUUGGGGGGUGUAGAGGCACGGCAAGGGUUGUAGGAUGAGUGGUGGAUGGAUGGAAGAUGGUGGAAAGCUCGGCAAGAAUGGUGGAAAGGUGCGGCAGAUUAUAGAACUAGGGUUUCUAGAAUUUUGAAUGAAUGUAGCAGGUUGUUUGGGAUGGUUUUGGAUGAGGUUGAAUGGUGGAAAAGUGUCUAGGAUGGGUGUAUGGCACGGCUAGGGGGGUUUGGGGUCAGAAACUAUGGAGUUUUGUGAAGGAUAGGUGCGGUUAGGGAUGGUGGAUGAAUUCUGGCGUGAAUGGAGUUGUAUGGAUGUGUGUGGAAUGUUUUGUGGCUGCAACAAGGAGGUUUAUUUAAAGGAAAACAGAAAUUAAAACCCUAGGUUGAUUAGGAAAUCAGAAAUUAAGUCUAAGGAUUCUAGAAUUAGGAAAUAAAUCAGAAAAUUAAAGGAAAGAGCAAGGGAAAUUCGGCUAGGGUUUAAAACACAAAAGGAAGGUGUUUUAAAGCAUAAAAACAGGAAAUAAGGAAGAGGAAAUGCAAAGGGGGGGUGCGGCAAGGGUUCAAAAGGGUUCCAGGCUUUUGUUUUGUGUCCUAGAAUGCUUAGAAAGUCUUCAUAAUUGCUGGAACUUUUAGGGACAUUUAGGAAAAAUCAAACCAAAGUAGGAAACUUUGGCUUAACUUUCCUAUUUCAAGUAGGAAUCCUUGUUGGAGUAGGAAUCCUUGUUCUUCUAGGAAUCCUCAUGUGAUUAGGAAUCCAUCUUCCAUUAGGAAUCCUUCUUGGAGUAGGAAUCCUUCGUCGAUUAGGAAUCCUUCUUCAAUUAGGAAUCCUUCUUCAUGUAAGCACUUUCCUACUUCAACUAGGAAACCUUGUUCAAGUAGGAAUCAUCAUCUUCAAAUCUUCAAAUUCGUCCAAACCUUGGCUCCAAUUAUGUGAUAAUCAUUCCAAGCCCAAUUUUUCUCCAAAAAACUCCAAAAUGCAUCUUCUUGCAUCCUUUGGCCUUAAAACCUGAAAACACAUAAAACUAGCUUAAAAGACUA